UUUUUUAAAGAGAGAGAGAACUAUUUAUUAUUUAUUUUUUGGCGGACACAACAUUUUUGUUUAUUAUGUGGUGCUGAGGAUCGAACCCGGGCCGCACGCAUGCCAGGCGAGCGCGCUACCGCUUGAGCCACAUCCCCAGCCCCCCACUAUCGUUCUUGAAUCUCCCCAGAAUUUGUGAAUUCCUUAAGUUCAAGGAAGACAGUUCUCUUUUACCACCCAGCUGGAAGGAAAAAAUGGACUUUAAAAUCAUUAUAUAUUUAUGUCAUUUCUGUCAAUUGUAUUGCUGCAGUGUUGAUAUUAGAACUGGUUAACUUUUACUACCCAGUUGUCCUGACUGAUCACUAUCCCUAAGUGGAAAUACCAAUGUAGGUUUGAAAGUUACACUUAUUUUUGAAGUUCCAAUUUGCAUGUGUGGUUAUGCUCACUUAUGAUUCCCAAAGCAGCUGCAUUCUGCUUUGGCAUGUGAGCCAUCUAGCUUUAGUCAUAUGUGUUGAGAGCCACAGCCGAAGGGGCCCCAGGAAACUUCCAGCUGCCGGCUGAUGAUUGGCUCACAGUGGCCCCAGUGUUGAGAGCCACAGCCAAAGGGGCCCCAGCAAACUUCCAGCUGCCAGCAAACUUCCAGCUGCUGGCUGAUGAUUGGCUCACAGCGGCCCCAGCAACAUCUAGCUGAUUGGCUCCUCUGCUGUGAUGCUCAUUGGGCUGUUUCCC
rnacentral:lncRNA from 1 species